GUCUCAUUGUUAGUGUAUAGAAAUGCCACUGACUACUGGGCAUUGAUUUUGUAUCCUGCCACGCUACCGAAUUGCUGUAUGAGUUCCAGCAAUCUUGGGGUGGGGAGACUUUGGGUUUUCUAUGUGAGUAUCAUGUCAUCGGUGAAGAGGGAGAUUUGACUUCUUCUUUGUCAAUUUGAAUGCCUUUAAUUCUUUUUGUUGUCUGAUUGCUGAGGCUAGGACUUCCAGUACUAUGUUGAACAGCAGUGGUGAGAGUGGAUAUCCUGUCUUGUUCCUGAUCUUAGGGGAAAGGCUCCCAGUGCUUCCCCAUUGAGAAUGAUAUUUGCUGUGGGCUUUUCAUAGAUGGCUUUUAAAAUGUCGAGGAAUGUUCCCUCUAUCCCUACACUCUGAAGAGUUUUGAUCAGGAAUGGAUGCUGUAUUUUGUCAAAUGCUUUCUCUGCAUCCAAUGAGAGGAUCAUAUGGUUUUGGUUUUUCUCUUGCUGAUAUGAUGAAUCACAUUGAUUGUUUUACAGGUGUUGAACCGCCUUGUGUCCCAGGAUAAAUCCUACUUGGUCAUGGUGAAUAAUUUUCUUAAUGUAUUGUUGGAUCCUAUUGGCCAGUAUCUUGUGAGAGAUUUUUGCAUCCAUGUUCAUCAGGGAUAUUGGUUGUAAUUCUCCUUUUUGGUGGGGUCUUUGGCUUUGGAAUUAAGGUGAUGCUGGCUUCAUAGAACGAAUUUGGAAGUACUCCAUCUCUUUCUAUCUUUCCAACAGCUUUAGGAGAAUAGGUAUGGUUUCUUCUUUAACGUUUGAUAGAAUUCCCCUGGGAAGCCAUCUGGCCCUGGACUCUUGUGUCUUGGGAGGUUUUUGAUGACUGCUUCAAUUUCCUCCCUGGUAUUGGCCUGUUCAGGGUUUCUAUUUUUCCUGUUCCAGUUUUGGUGUUUGUGGCUUUCCAGGAAUGCGUCCAUUUCUUCUAGAUUGCCUAAUUUAUUGGCGUAUAGCUGUUCAAUAUGUUUUUAAAAUCGUUGUAUUUCCUUGGUGUUGGUAGUGAUCUCUCCUUUCUCAUUCAUGAUUUUAUUAAUUUGAGUCUUCUCUCUCUUCUUUUUAAUAAGGCUGGCUAAUGGUUUAUCUAUCUUAUUAAUUCUUUCAAAGAACCAACUCCUGGUUUCGUUUGAUCUGUUCCAUAGUUCUUCUGGUCUCGUUUCGUUGAGUUCUGCUCGAAUCUUUAUUAACUCCCUUCUUCUCUUGGGUGUAGGAUCUAUUUGCUGUUUUUUCUCUCGCUCCUUAUGUGUAAGGUGAGCUUUUGUAUUUGAGUUCUUUCCAGUUUUUGAAUGGAUGCUUGUAUUGCGAUGUAUUUCCCCCUUAGGACUGCUUUUGCUGCAUCCCAAAGUUUGAACGGUUGUAUCUUCAUUCUCAUUAGUUUCCAUGAAUCUUUUUAAUUCUUCCUUAAUUUCCUGGUUGACCCUUUUAUCUUUUAGCAGGAUGGUCCUUAACCUCCACGUGUUUGAGGUCCUUCCAAACUUCUUGUUGUGAUUAGUUCUAAUUUCAAGGCAUUAUGGUCCGAGAAUAUGCAGGGGACAAUCCCAAUCUUUGGUAUCGGUUCAGACCCGAUUUGUGACCCAAUAUGUGGUCUAUUCUGGAGAAAGUUCCAUGUGCACUUGAGAGAAUGUGUAUUCAGUUGAGUUUGGAUGUAAAGUUCUGUGAUAUCUGUGAAAUCCAUUGGUCCAGUUAUCAUUUAAAGCUCUUGUUUCUUUGGAGAUGUUGUGCUUAGAAGACCUAUCGAGUAUAGAAAGAGCUAGAUUGAAGUCACCAGUAUAAGUGUAUUAUUAUCUAAGUUUCUUCACUUUGUGUAAUAAUUGAUUUAUAUAUUUGGCAGCUCCCAAAUUCGGAGCAUAUAUAUUGAGCAUAUAUAUUAAGUCCUCUUGUUGAAUAGAUCCUUUAAGUUGAUAUAGUGUCCCUCUUCAUCUCUCACUACAGUCUUGGGGUAAAUUCUAGUUUAUCUGAUAUAAGGAUGGCUACCCCUGCUUUCUUUUGAGGACCAUUCGAAUGGUAAAUGGUUCUCCAACCUUUUAUUUUCAGGCUGUAGGGGUCCUUCUGUCUAAAAUGAGUCUCUUGUAGACAGCAAAUAGAUGGGUCCUGCUUUUUUAUCCAGUCUGAAACCCUGCGCCUUUUGAUGGGGUCAUUAAGCCCGUUCACAUUCAGAGUUACUAUUGAGAGUAUGAGUUGUGUCAUCAUGAUAUCUAUUCAGUCCUUGUGGACUGUUCCACUGAACUUCUUCUUAAAGGGGAUUUUAAGAGUCCCCCUUAAAUUUCUUGCAGAGCUGGUUUGGAGGUCACAUAUUCUUUUAGUUGCUGCCUGUCUUGGAAGCUCUUUAUCUCUCCUUCCAUUUUGAAUGAGAGCCUUGCUGGAUAAAGUAUUCUUGGUUGCAUUUCUUCUCAUUUAGGACCCUGCUAAUUCCUGCCAGCCCUUUCUGGCCUUCCGGGUCUCUGUGGAGAGGUCUGCUGUUACCCUAAUACUCUCCCCCAUAAAAGUCAGGGAUUUCUUGUCUCUUGCUGCUUUAAGGAUCUUCUCCUUAUCUUUGGAAUUUGCAGCUUCACUAUUAAAUGUCGAGGUGUUGAACGGUUUUUAUUGAUUUUAGGGGGGGAUCUCUCUAUUUCCUGGAUCUGAAUGCCUGUUUCCCUUCCCAGAUUAGGAAGUUUUCAGCUAGAAUUUGUUCAAAUACAUAUUCUGGCCCUCUGUCCCUUUCGGCCCCUCGGGAACACCAAUUAAACGUAGGUUUUUCUUCCUCGGCUGUCGUUAUUUCCCUUAAUCUAUCUUCAUGGUCUUUUAAUUGUUUGUCUCUUUUUUCCUCAGUUUCCCUCUUUGCUAUCAACUUGUCUUCUAUGUCACUCACUCGUUCUUCCACCUCGUUAACCCUCGUCGUUAGGACUUCUAGUUUGGAUUGCAUCUCAUUCAAUUGAUUUUUAAUUUCUGCCUGAUUGGCUCUAAAUUCUGCAGUCAUGAAGUCUCUUGAGUCCUUUAUGCUUUUUUCUAGAGCCACCAGUAGCUGUUAAUAGUGCUUCUGAAUUGGCUUUCUGACAUUGAAUUGUAAUCCAGAUUUUGUAACUCUGUGGGGAGAGGGACUGUUUCUGAUUCUUUCUUUUGAGGUGAGGUUUUCCUUCUAGUCAUUUUGCUCAGUGCAGAGUGGCAAAAGCAAGGGUAUUGGGAAAAAGAGAAAAAGAGAGGAGAGAAGAA
rnacentral:lncRNA from 1 species